rnacentral:pre_miRNA from 14 species
GUGGUGAACCAAGCUCAAACGGUAUUCGACGGUGAAUAAUAAAAAUGACAUUGCGACUCAUUCUAUUAUUGCUCGAGAAUACCCUUUGACACGGUUCACCUUU